rnacentral:tRNA from 1 species
GCGCCUGUAGCUCAGUGGAUAGAGCGAAUCUCUCCUAAAGAUUAGGUCGCACGUUCGAAUCGUGUCAGGCGCA